rnacentral:rRNA from 1 species
GACGUAGGGCGCGAGCGUUGUCCGGAUUUAUUGGGCGUAAAGAGCUCGUAGGCGGCUUGUCGCGUCGACUGUGAAAACCCGCGGCUCAACUGCGGGCCUGCAGCCGAUACGGGCAGGCUAGAGUUCGGUAGGGGAGACUGGAAUUCCUGGUGUAGCGGUGAAAUGCGCAGAUAUCAGGAGGAACACCGAUGGCGAAGGCAGGUCUCUGGGCCACUGACUGACGCUGAGAAGCGAAAGCAUGGGGAGCGAACAGG